rnacentral:lncRNA from 1 species
GCCAAGGCUGGGACCUGGUACACAGGAGGCCACUUCCCAGCCAGCGAGAUGGACUGGGGCCUCCACUGGCAGGGGAAACGGGGAUUUUCGAAGCCAGUUCCCAGAACAGCACUGCUAGAUGGCUACGGAGACCACAGGCCGGACAUGGGGACAGGAUAGGGGUCCUGUGUGGAAGUGCCACUUCUGGGCACUGCCAACACCACCAGCUGCUGCUUCACACCCACUCGGUCAGAGCAAAGGAAAGAAGGAAGAAGGAAAGGAAAGCACGGAGGGCAUACGAGGACAUCUCCGCAUCCCCCGGCCUCAGAGGACAAGCAACGAAGUCACACAGCCAGAAGCUCCCAGAAGCCAGAGCCCUCGGCCCUGCGCUCUGUCAGUGCCCAGUGCCCACAGCUUUCCAGGCAGAAUCUCCGAUUGCUGCUGCCGGAUUCUUGCUUGCAAGGAUGGGGAUUCCUGCCUCGGCAGGGGGAGCCCUUACUGCUUGGAAGUAGAGAAGGGGGUGGGGGGUCUUAAGCCAAGCUGCAUCAUACAAGCUCCGGGGCCAGAGUCAGGGCAGACGGGUGUGCAGGCGGCUCUGCAGCUGACUCGCCAAGGUUUCGGGGGAAGCCGUGUUUCCCUGAUUGGAAAUGAGGAUAAUAAAGCCCAUUUUGGGUGCAUGAACAGGAUACACGCCUGGCACCCGCAUCGUGGGGAGCUGCUCGUGCCUAUGAGCGCUGCCUGGGCCAGGAAUCUGCUCCCCACGCUUCGUGGGAAUGGCUUCCUUCCCCGCUCGGAGCUCGGGGAUGCUGGCUGGGCUUUGGGAAGACGAACAAGUCGAAUGUCCACUGUGGAAGUUUUGUAGAUAGAUCUGUAGGAGGAAAAGGGCAAGGGGCAGCUUUGUAUAUAAUUCAAUUAGCAAAAUCAAGAAGUAAACAGAGCACCACAUGACCCGGGACUGUCACUCUAGGGGCCCGGAAGUACCCCAACCUGGAAGGUGUCCGUCCUGUCCUGUGUUCUCCGGCCCCUUCUCACCUGCGUCAUCAACCCUCCCUCCUCUCCUUCUCCAGACAGCGGCACUGAUCUACGGCUGCACAGAGAGGGUUCCAGAUGCCCUGCUCCUGGCUCAGCUCCCGGCGUCCCAGCCAAGCCUGUCUUGGAAGGAAGAGAAACUGCAUCUGCACAAGAGGAAGGGGAUGGCAAGUGGAUUCUGCCUUCUGCCCCGGAAGGGGUAAAUUAUAAUCUACGAUCAGACAAGGCAGGUCCGAGAGUCUUGACCAGCUCCAAGACAGAAAGGCGGAAACUCCAGGACAGAAGCUUGUUUAGACUUGUGGAUAGUUUGGG